rnacentral:rRNA from 1 species
GCACAGGUGCUGCAUGGCUGUCGUCAGCUCGUGUCGUGAGAUGUUCGGUUAAGUCCGCUAACGAGCGCAACCCUCGCUGUGUGUUUAUAUUGUGUUCACACGGGACUGCCGGUCUUAAGCCGGAGGAAGGUGGGGAUGAUGUCAAGUCAGCAUGGCCUUUAUAUCCUGGGCUACACACACGCUACAAUGGCCAACACAAUAGGUUGCUAAGCCGCGAGGUGGCGCCAAUCCAUAAAGUUGGUCUCAGUUCAGAUUGUAGGCUGCAACCCGCCUGCAUGAAGAUGGAGUUGCUAGUAACCGCAGGUCAGCUAUACUGCGGUGAAUACGUUCCCGGGGCUU